rnacentral:tRNA from 1 species
GUAUUUAAUGCUGAGCGGUAAAGCGCUUGGCUUCCGAACCGGGGUCCGGGGUUCGAAUCCUGGUGAAGACU